GACGAACGCUGGCGGCGUGCUUAACACAUGCAAGUCGAACGGAAAGGCCCUGCUUUUGUGGGGUGCUCGAGUGGCGAACGGGUGAGUAACACGUGAGUAACCUGCCCUUGACUUUGGGAUAACUUCAGGAAACUGGGGCUAAUACCGGAUAGGAUCUCCUGCUGCAUGGUGGGGGUUGGAAAGUUUCGGCGGUUGGGGAUGUACUCGCGGCUUAUCAGCUUGUUGGUGGGGUAGUGGCUUACCAAGGCUUUGACGGGUAGCCGGCAUGAGAGGGUGACCGGCCACAUUGGGACUGAGAUACGGCCCAGACUCCUACGGGAGGCAGCAGUGGGGAAUAUUGCACAAUGGGCGGAAGCCUGAUGCAGCAACGCCGCGUGCGGGAUGAAGGCCUUCGGGUUGUAAACCGCUUUCGCCUGUGACGAAGCGUGAGUGACGGUAAUGGGUAAAGAAGCACCGGCUAACUACGUG
rnacentral:rRNA from 1 species